CUGUGAUGGCAUUAGUCGAACCUAGACCACGUGCGUCGGAAACAAUAAUGAAUUAUAGCAGCGAAUUCGUCACUGAAGAGGCUGUUUCUUGGCUACAGUCGCAUGGAAUGAGACUUAAGAAAGGAAAGAAAAAGACGGUUGCGAUGGCCAAGAUCUCCUUGCCAUCGCCCAAGAUGCAGACGUACCAAGGCACUACAUCCCUAUUAUAAAAGAGCGUCUAAAGCUCAAGAAAUUGAUUGCAAUGAACGCUGAACCUAGAGAUGACACGAGUUCUUCGUCGCGUGCAGAAUCAAGUCCUUCGAGUAAGACGGUUCAAACGUCGAUUGAUGAUUCAGAUAACAUCAGCGAUUAUGAAAAUUUAGAGGUGACAUUGGCACCGAAAGAAAAGGGUAAAUCGCCCAAGGAUCUCUGUUUUACGGACGAGGCGACAGAACUGAGCACUGUCUAAGUAAGUUCUUGUAUAUUAAACUUAGCAGGAUGGUGAAGAGUACAUUAUCGAUUACUUUCUUUCGAUUAUAUCCUAAAGGAAAACACACAAGGUGCCAGUUGGUCAGUUAAAGAUGACAAAUCUCGGGGAUUGCACCUACAAAAAUGGCGAGAUUUGCUUUAUUUUUAUUGAAAUAUAUUAGAUAUGUAUUUACUUGCACCAUGCAUAAAACAAAGUAAACCCAAUUUUUAAAUCUGGUAAAUUAAAAAAUUAGUGAAUUGAUAGGAUGUUAUCAGACAGUUUAAUUUUUUUGAAAACAAAUAUUUACCUACAGGUUCCUCCUGAAUGGCUUUCAAAAUUCCAACUACCAUCGAGGUUCUCUGCCUCAGUAGAGUUGGAUACCCAGAAGGGAUAUCUCAUCAGCAGCCUAAAGUACUCUGAGCAACAGUGGAUUGCAAAAAAAAAUUAUUGCAGAGUAUCCUUGUAUGGUUAGCAGGAUACUAGACUAAGUUGACUUGGAAACUGAAUGGAUUGGUAUGGUCUAAAAAUCUAUUGCUUCACCUCUUCUGCUUGCAGUGAAGAGAGACAAUUUUGUGGUGCUGAAUCUCUUGCCUUAAAAUAAAAAGUUGCAAAAUAAUCACUCUCACCUUUUAAGUUCAUGACCUUUGUUCUUGUGUGUUUGUCAUCACAUGCAUUUAAUGAAGUUGUGACCAUUUUGGAGGUACAAGUCCAAAAAACUGCUACUUUGGUACUAAGAUGAACAGCUAAAAUUUCUGAGCCCAUUUGCCAAUGAAGUCCAGAUACAAAGGUUCAAGUACUUUGGGGUUGUAUUAAUUUUGCCUUUUUGUUUAGUUUUUUUGAUUUUGCAAUUUUUUAAAAUAUUCCUGUUGUCAAACCAUUAGAUAAAUAUUGGACAUAGAAUAGCUGAUUUUUUUCAGAUAUUUUGGGAGUCAUACAUUAGUUUUUCAAGUCUUGAAUGGGAGACAAA